UACGUAGGGUGCAAGCGUUAUCCGGAAUUAUUGGGUGUAAAGAGCUCGUAGGCGGUUUUGUCGCGUCUGCUGUGAAAACUGGAGGCUCAACCUCCAGCCUGCAGUGGGUACGGGCAAACUAGAGUGCGGUAGGGGAGAUUGGAAUUCCUGGUGUAGCGGUGGAAUGCGCAGAUAUCAGGAGGAACACCGAUGGCGAAGGCAGAUCUCUGGGCCGUAACUGACGCUGAGGAGCGAAAGCAU
rnacentral:rRNA from 1 species